UUCAAUCUGAUUGUUGUGGCCUAGGUGAACCAUACCUAGCGUCUGGAAUGUGGGUACGUAUCACUGUCAAUAUACAAAUCCGCAACUUAACCUUACAUGACCUGCCCUAUAACACCAACUAAAGAGUAAUCCAUGUAGCUCCAGAGGGUCACCCUCCCAUAAGCUAUGCUACCAAUAAGAAUAGGCUAAAGCCCUUAUCAAGCAUAAGCUUGCAUUGUAAUUGUGGGGGCAAAGUCUCUUUAUGCUCG
rnacentral:lncRNA from 1 species